AACGGGUGAGUAACACGUGGGUGAUCUACCUUCGAGUGGGGGAUAACGUUUCGAAAGGAACGCUAAUACCGCAUAACGUUCUGGGUUUGAAGACCUGGAGACCAAAGCCGGGGACCGCAAGGCCUGGCGCUUGAGGAGGAGCCCGCGCCUGAUUAGCUAGUUGGCGGGGUAACGGCCCACCAAGGCGACGAUCAGUAGCCGGCCUGAGAGGGCGGACGGCCACACUGGGACUGAGACACGGCCCAGACUCC
rnacentral:rRNA from 1 species